GUCUGGCCAGGAAACCUUCGAGUAGCAGCACUUUCCCUUUUAAGCAGUCUGGCCUCCAGACUCAGGAGAAAAUGCAGUGGAAGAGAUGAGCUACUCUUCUGGGAAGUGACUUCUUGUCAAUGCUGAUGGCUGAAUCCUGGUGCAACCUCAGGACAGUAAUUAUCAUCACUUAUAUUGCAGCGAAAGCCUCUGGCCUGGGUUACAAAGGAGAUGGAUGAUAAUAAUAGCUUAUGCUAAGCUUAAAAUCCAAGAUUCAAUUCAGACCCAGGAGUGAUCCAUUCUCAGGAGAAAAACGAUAGUGGCUGCCGGGGGUUCAUUUCCCAAACCUACUGCUGAUGCACUCCAAAAACCGAGGCUUCGUUCCAGCUCUUCUUGAGCAGCAGCAUUAAAAACAUUAUGCUGAGCCCUCAGUCCUCACGUCUACCACCGAGGAAAACACGCAGUAGAGGAAAGUCAAAUUCCAGAUUGCUCAGCAGAAAGGAAAAACCAGCUUGGAAGCCCCUCUGGAAAGGGGCCAAGCAAUAAUCUCAUACCGUGUGGGUGAGAAUGGAAGCAUCUCCCUUGAACUUAGAUGGAGCAAGAGCUGCUCGCACCCACUCAGCAUCCAGCCUGCUACAUUUACAGCCCUGAUUUUGAACCAGCUGAAUGAAAAUACUUGUGGGCAGCAAAAAUAGCCGGUGCUGAAAACCUGUGUCUACUGAGCCUGGAAAUCGCUGGGAGUUCCUCCAUGGCUGCAGCUAAGCAUUAUAACUCGUGUCAUAAAUAAGACGUGGUUACACGGCAUGCCGCGGCACAGCUGUGGCGGCACGAUGCCCGUGCACCCCGGCCACAGACCCAGCGUUCUCGUGGCCCCUCGGCCACAGCACCGCAGCCCAGCGACUCUGAGGAUGCUGGUGAAUGGUUCAGAGAGAAAUAGGCCUUUUUUUUGGUGGGGGGGUGUGGGGGGGAAUGCAUCAUGUUUUUUUUCCUGUUGCAUCAGCACAUUAUGCAGUGUUUGUCACCCCAAAUGUUAAUGUAAUUUCUACUCCCUCUCUGGAGCACAGCCCUUCAUCUUGUGAUGCCAAGGCAGGAGUUGGAUUAUGAGGAGCCACUGAGGUUAAUGCAUCUCAGGCACCUUCACAAAGCAGAAUUUAGCCUCGUGGGUGAAACCGAUUUGAGUUUCCUGAGGUUUCUCAAACGAGCUGCAGGGGUGCUGCCCCCUUCAAUCCCACUAGUCUCCCACCGCAAGCCCGUGUCUGGAAAGAGGAAGGAGUCAGAAAUCACCUGCUGCACCCGCUCCUCCAGGUACCAUCCCCAUCACUGUGAUGCUACGGCGAAGAGAGGUGGCAUUUGAUUCUACUUGAUCCUUACUGAGCUGAAGUAUCUGCGGAUUCAUUUAGGAGCAGAUGAGUCCCUGGUCGGCUGAAGAAGAAGGUUUGCAUCCUGCUUGCAUGCUCCUAGGAGAUACUUCAAGAACGCAGCACUGAGAGCCGCCUGGAAGUGCUGGAAGCACUUGGUCAUGAAAUGUUUAUCCAGGUCUCAGAUCAUGCUAAAGCACCUGCGUGGGUCAGAGCAUCCUUGCCACUGCCCCUCAUCUGUCUGUCCUGUGCCGCUCCUCCAAGGCGAUGAGUGCUGAGACCUGGGUCAGCAUCCCAGGACUGAUGGCAGGAAAGUGCAUCUCUUAAGGACUUUUUAGGCCAUAAUCUAUUUAUACCUCCUGCUCCAGUGGUUGCUUUCUUGUGAGGGCUAAUGACUGCUGUCUCCUGCUUGUUGUACCGUGAGCUGUGCCAGGCUUGUCUAGCGAUCAGCGGUCAUUCCCCGUGCUGGCCAUUCCCCUGAAUUAAAUCCAGAAAUGAAUUUCUGAAUGAAAUGCUUUGAGUUUGUCUGUGUUGGAUUGUCUUCGAGAGUUUUUUCAGGCUCUAGCUCCAAUUUUUUCAAGACCAAGCAAUUGGCGUUGCUACUUAGGAAUUGUCUCGCUCAGACUCUGCUUGAGUUUCUCCAUCUUCAACAUUGGGCUGACACUAAUUGCCCAUUUGCAAUGCAUUUCCAGACACGUGGCUAUAAGGAGCUUUAUGGAAAAAGCAGCCAUUGUUAUUAUGAAACCUUCAGGAAAAAAAUUAAUAGAUUCAUAUAACUCCAUGGUCAUUAAAACAAACCUUAUGUGGAUGGAAGAGACCAGAACUGAAUAAACCUUGAGCAAACACAGCCUUUCACAAUGAAACGCAAACUGGUUUUAAUCAGCAGAGCCAAAUAAGUUUUAUUUUUCCGAGGUUUCUUUUCCCUCCAUCUCCUUCUUUCAAUAUAAGCAAUUGCAGAAGAGCACGUUGUCUUGAUGAAAAGAGAACUUUGCCCAAUUCCUGGUCUUAUGAAUUCAAUUUUUUAAAAAACAACAACAAAAUACUCUGCUUGGGCUGGCCAGUUCUCAAGUUGCUUUGAGCUACGAUAGGUUCGUGGCCAGUCUUCCUGAAAGUAUUAUUCUGUGGUUAAAGAACCACUAUUUGUCCAAAGAUUUUGGAUGAAAUUGGGUUUAAGCCCCAUCAGAUGGUAAGAGAGGGCUGAUGAUCACCUCCUAGCACUUGCUUCCUUCAGGGAGGCCACACAGCUGUUUCUUUUUUGCCUCACCAAAGCUUCUCCUGUGUUUGUUUAGAAGACAGAAAUAACUUUCUGCUACGAGGAUGAUGAGGUUACACAUCUCGAGCUGUCACGGUGAGUCAAAAGCCUGGAGCUGAUGGGGCUGCCUGCAAGGCAAGAAGUGGGAAACGCCUUCAGAGGGGAGCCCUGUGCUGUCCACCUCAUCUCUGCCUGCACUGAGGACCUCUCUCCAUCAGGAUACCUUCCACAGAGAAGGCUACCUUUGCAAAACUGAUUAUGCAGCGAGCACCAGGGUCUUCACAUCAAAAUAUGCCGCAUCAUUAAGGUAUCUCAGCACAUAGAAGCUGCUGUUUGCCUUUCUCUGAAGUAUCUGCUCGUGGCCGCACAGGUCCUUAGGCUGCUGUGAGCUGGGAUGACUGACAUUGCUGGGUCAGAACUCUGAUCGUCCAGACAGAAACCCGCCAACCUUCAAAAGGAGAGGAGGAUGCCUCCAGUUAAGCUCUCAAGUGAAUCCUAUUUGCCUUUUAGUUGAUUUUUUUUUUUAAACUCAGCCCUUCCAAAAACUUAAAAAAAAAAACCCAAAGCACAUGAAGAUAUGAAACGGAGCAGGAUGUUAAAUACCCAACCUAUGUCAGCAAGCAGCUUGCUUUUAAUCAACCAUCCACCUGAAAUACCUGGGGGCGAGGAAGGAGCCUGUGGGAACGUGUUGCAACAGACUGAAGCCAUCUCAGAGGAGAACUGCCACACAAACGGUGAGCCGGAAGGGUGGCUUCAGAAGCCACUUGUUAAACAUCUCCUGUUUGAUCCCCACGUAGCAGCAUGCCAGAAGCAGGAAGAAAAUGUUCAUUCCAAGAAAGUCCUCAUGGUCACUCCAGCAGGUUUAUUAUCCUAAUUGACUUACGGUGCUUGGUUCUAAAUUAGCCUGCUUGGAAAUGUGAUCGGCAUGGGUAAUUUUUCACUUUAUGACAUACCUUAUAAUAAAUAAUCAAAAAACCCGUAAAGAGCGGUAAUGUUAGAUCACUGGUGCUUAUGAAUAACCAUAGCUUAAAGUAUAGUGUAGAAAAGAGGUUUUUUUUGAUGAUGCAUCCUUAAGACUGUGUCUGUGUUACUCUUUUGUCGUAAUUAAAUUAUUGCUUAUAAGAACUCCUGCUUGGUCAAAAAGAGAAAAAACCUCCAAUUAUUAUAAUUUCAUUUCAGUGUUUUCCAUAAGCUCCUAGCCAAGUUGGCCAAUAACUAAGGCAAAGAACAGGAGGGGGGAAAAAAAAAGGUAUGUAUUGUAUACUCACUUAAAACUUGGCUAGAAAUGACCUUUUAUUUCCUAAUUUUUUUUUUCCAUGCCCAACUUGGCUACUUGAGGCAAACUCAUUGCCAAGUUUCUAUAGUGUGUUAUUUUCCUAUGUGUUCAAAAACAUUUUAUAAAGCUGUCCUCCAAGUGUUGUACAAAGGUUUUGUGUGGACAAGGGUAGAGGAGCCUGGGUUUGAUAGAGUUACUGGUGAAGAUGCUGGUGUUGAAAAGCUUAGAUGUGUUUUGCUUGCUUGGGAUAUUUUUUGUGUGCCAUUCCCUCCCCCUUCUUGUUCCCCGUGCAGCCCAACAUGGCAAGAUCUCCAAAUGGGCUGUGCUAACAAAUGCAGCUGAAGACAGCCAUAUGAUGUUAAUAUAAACGUCCUCUGUCAGCUUGGAGAGGCACCAGGAAAUCACCCCAGGAAUGCUUUUUGCAGCGCCUGUCUCUGCUCGGUGCCACGCAGUGGCAUUUGUCAGGCGCACUCAGCCGUGGCUCUCCAGAGGACACAGGACCUUUUCCCUCAGUCUGGGUCACUCUAACAUGUGUCGUGUUGUGUCUAAGCAUAUGGAUGACUUUUUAGUUAAAAAAAAACCAAUAAAAGGAAGCAAUUCUGGGUUACAAAACCCAACCCCAAAACCAGUUGCUGUCACUCUGGCUCCUCCAUAAGAGUCCAGCCAUUGUGUAAGUGAUACUUGAGUCGUGAUAAAAUAAGAAAUGCAGCUCUCUUUACAAUUCAAGGACAAUUUCUCUUUGAGUCCUUCAUUAAAAACACCAUGCUGGAAUAAAUAGAAAGACCAGGGCUCAGGCAUAUUCUUAUUCGGGAUCAUUUCAUUUUAGAAACAAAGAAAAGUGAUUUUAAAAUUCGAUGCAAUUCUUUUUGUGUUGUGCAGUUGAAGUUUGCAGUUUGCUGCAUUUUCCUCAGAGACAUGCUUAAUUUCUUUUUUAUUAUAUUUUAUUUCACUUUAUUUCAUUUUUUUUUUGUGGUGAGCUGCCGUGGUGUCACCAACGCAUCUGAAAUAUUACGGGGAGAAAGACAGCCACUUGAAAGCAAUAAUGAGGGGACUGCUGAACCUCUGAAAAUAUCUGGGUGCAUUCUGCAUGAUGUUCACACUUCACUGACCUUGUGGAAGCCUUGGAGUAGUUGCAGUUUCAAAUUAGUUUUGCAAACUAAAAGGUUUAGUGCGAUGCUUGUGGUGGGAUCGAUAUCCAACCAAACCUUGUGAUGUUUGCCAGGUCUCUCAACACAGACUCACCAGGUUUUUAUAGGUUUCCAGAGAGCAGAUGGACAUUUUGUAGGUCCCACCUUGCCUGGCGUCUCUGCAGGAGUGAAAGAAACUGAACAGAAACUCUUCUCUGUGCAUCAGUCCGUACCUUUCUCCUGCUCAAAGACUACACAGAAAGCAAGAAUCAAGUAACUGAAAGAUUUAUGUUGGAACUACAGCCACAUGGAUCAGAACACAAAUAACACCUCCAUCCCCUUCCAAAUCUUCCAGGCCUGACCUUUCACAAUCUCAAUUUCCUGACCAAUGACUCCAAAGAAAAUAGAGCUGCUAGUUGGUAUUUAAUGGAAAUCUGUGCAAAACUUGUCAAAAUACACCACCAUGCCUAUCAGCUGCCUGGGACAAGACCUCUACAGUAGUUUCCAGAAACUCAGUGCAAUUACUUACAUUUUAAAUUAUCUUUAAUUGUCGCAUGUGAGCUACAGAAACAUUUUUCCCCACUCUGAAGCAAGACCUCGCUAUUAAGAGUCACCCCAUAAUUGCAGCUUUAAUAGGGGGACCGUAGCAGGUCAGCUGUGAAGGUUAGCGCAGGGCGCAGCAAGGCGAGAGCGGCUGCUGAACACCAGUAAGUGGAAGUGACACAUCACAAUAGUCCCAUCAAUUAUGUAGGGGCAGUUUGGAGUGUAAACUUUUUAGUGAAUCUAAUUACCUUGCCAGAUGUUUUAAUCCAAUCUCCUUGCCCUUCCUUUGCCAUCAAAUACUACAUUGUUUUUUUGAGUUCCUGAUAGGAAAAUGUCACCAUAACUAUGGAAUCGAAAUAAACUUGUUGAGUUUCUUUGCAGGAACUGAGCAUCCUUUUGCUCUCCAAGAGAUUAAUCGGGUUCCUGUGUGACUCAGUACUUGUGGGAUCACACUGAACAAGGAUGAAUGUACUCAUGAAUUGAUAAGGGUGUCACGACGGGUGCAAGACUGAUGAAAAAUAGAUGAGGUGGUGUAAACGAGCUCAAGAGCUGAAUGACAACUUGUUAGCCUGGCAAUGCCGAAUUGAAGCGCAUCCUGUCAAUAGUAUUGGAGAUGCUGCACCAGAUUUUCUGAGGCUGUUUGCAUAUUGACCUAAUGUUCCUCUUGACACAAAACCUUGAAAGUGCAGCUAAAAGCAGCAUUGCUGAACUCUUCUGAUUUGCUCACAGAUUGGGGUCAGAUGUGAGCAUGAAAGAAAAUCCAUGCCUAUGCAGGAGAGGGGAAAAUAGUGAAUUAACUGUGUACACAGAUGCAUGAUUAUUUCCUUCUAGAAGUGCAGAGCAGGGAAGUAACCUACCAGUAUCGGGAGGGCUUUCCUUGUCAUUCGGUGACCUGGUUUUGGGUUGGUGCGAAAUCCGGGGAUGUGCGUGCAACAUGUUGACCAGUCUUCAGCCUGGACUGCCGUGUCUUGACAACCCUAACAUGAAAAAAACCCAGCCUAUAUCAGAGGAGUCUCAGACUCUUCAAACUUCAAUUGAACAGUUUGAUGGUCUUUAUUUUCACCAGCUUAUCACAUUAAUAGUUGCUUAUCGUCCCUUCAUCCUCCCACUGAGAGACCAUUCAAACUUGUUCCAUGCACAACUUUAGUUGCACGCUCGUUGGAUAGAAACAUGCAGAGCAAACAAUGAAACAAGACUGUUUAUAAACCGCUCAACACUUUGGGGCAGUGGAGAAGAGCCCAAGUUUCCACAUAAAGGUCUGAAUGGACAAGAGUGAUGUGAAACACAUGGAAAAUGUGGAAUAAGUAAUAAAAUCAUAAAUAAAACAAAUACUAUAAAUUGGAAAUGCAGUUUUACUCGUAAUGAUUUGUGUUCCUAGUAAUCCAAGACUCCCUUACCUUUGGAAAAUUGUAUGUUUUUUCAACGGAGGAACUGACUGCAGGUGACAGGCCUGACGAGUUGGGCGGUGGGUUGGAUCAUUGAAUGGCUCAAGCAUUCAGCAGGUCGGGGCUCCGGCAACCUUGCAUAAGCCCUUUCUCUGACAAUGG